rnacentral:tRNA from 1 species
GAUUAGCCUCUUUUAAUAAAGAAGUCGGUGUUGUACGAAUUAGGAUCGUAACAUUUCGGACAUGAAUUAGGAUAAU